GAGGCCACCAACCCAACUAAAAUGGGACUAUUAAGCCUUCGGCCGCCCCUUUACAUGCUGUACAAGGCAUGAACAUGCCAAAAGACACGGACAUACAUAAGCAUUACAUCAAACACCUUGUUUAGAAGUUUGUCCGUGACAUUCUCCCCCACUUAUUCCUUCGACGUCCUCGUUGAAGCCUUUGUCAACACUGCAACUCCUCGCCUUUGCUGAGUCUUCAAUCUUCUGCUCCAGCUACAAUGCGCCUCUUGGCUCCUUGCUGCUCUUCGUUGCUAUUUUUGAGUAGUCGAACCUUUGAUCCGCCAAGCUGCUUCAACUCACCAAUGACUCUGACUCUGGUGUGGGGUUGGUUGAGUCGUGUUGAUCCUUGUUGAUUCCUACGGAUCCCCUAGAUGAAGGAAAAGACCAUCCUUACUGCGCCAGUCUCUCGAAUUUCUCAUGCUGCUAGAACUGGUUGGAUACUUGUUGGAGCUUUAACGAGCAUCAUCUCGCAAACUUCUGAAGUUUUGAGUCCUUCCUCCACAAAAUCUGCUCAUUGACUCUUCUUUCACUUAGUUGUCACAUCCAAGUAGGUUCGCAUCACUUCCGCUUUCGAUUGGCAUUUCGUUUGGAAAUGAAGCGGACAAUCUACUCUCAGUAGCACUGAUCACCGUUGGUGAGGAUUUGACAACUAUUGUCUUCCAUUAUCUUUGAAGGGUCUUUGAACAUCUGCAGAGCUCCUCUGCUAGAUAGAUAAGAGAAUUGGGGUACUCGGUUUCGCCCAUUCUCUUGAGAGUUGAGAAGGUAAAGGUUACUUGACUUCGCCUGCCUCCUCGAGGUUGUACUUCAUGCAUCAAGCUGGUUACUGGCCUUCGCCUGCUCUUUGCUCACACUUCUGAAGCACUUGAAGUGUUUGCACUCCUUGCGUUGAGUUAGUUACUGUGAUUCACCUUCUCAAUGCCAUCGAACUUCUGGAAUGCGGGAAGUUUUCACCCCAACUUGGAGUAAUUCUCUCAUAGGUUUGGUCGCUUCUGGGAUUAUACCGUCUUCUCCAUCAACCCUGCCGCCUACUCCACUGAGUAGCAAAGGUACAGCACCGCGUACUGCCUGCUUCGUUCCUUGGUUAUGCACUCUUGCAUGACCCGAAGUCCUUCACUUUCGGCUAUCUUGAUGAGAAGCACCUUGACACCGGUCUUACGAAGUUCUUCGACCUCUGCCCUUCAGCCUUAUCUCGGUACUUGGAGAUUGCCUCUGCAUUCUCCACCUCCUCGGCCCCUUUCACGACCAAGCGCUCUCCCUCCAUGAGAGCAAGGGAUCAAUGACUUUCACGGAAGUCCCGCCUCUGCGGUACCAUGGCGCUGCCAUGCCCAUAGCCCUACUAUCCGUCGCCUCGCAUCUGCAUCUCUUUUCUUCACAAUCAGUAGAUAUGCCUCUGUGGCACUCCUUCGAGUCCACCUCCAUUCUAACUGAUGCUUGAUUUUGGGUAGCUAAGUCCCUCUGGACUCGUCGUCGCUUCCUCGCCCCUUUCGACCCCCUGCUUCAACACCUUUGUGUUCUCCAAGCAGUCCGUUUGGUCGAUGGAAAGACAGACUGCAACUCCCAUGCAUGGCCUCUGCCAUCACGUUGUAGGGUUUGCACUGAUUCUGUUCUCCUUAGCUUCCUUGGUAGCAACGUUCGCUUACUCGGCCUUGUCCUCUGACUUGCCGGGCUCCCUUAAGCGAAUAUGAGCUCUAGAGUAGUCCAACUCUCCAGCUGCUUCGAUCAUACCUCUGCAUGAUCAAGUUCCUCCCAUGGAACUCACUGGUACUUGCAUUCGAACUUUUUCCUUGGUGGAACCCAGCCCCCAUAUGCUGAUGACCAAGGUUUUCAUCCGAUGCAAAAUUCGAUGCACGCACAGAAGACCCACCUCUGCGGUACCAUGGCCUUCACUCCUUGAAUCCAUAGCCCUUCUUGCCGUCGUGUUGUUCACCGAAGUGGAGCUCCCAGUAGCUCCCGAUCAUACCUCCAUAUGAUCUAAUCCCUCCCGGGACUAGGUCGUGUGUAUCGCAUUGCCAUCGAACAGUUCCACCACGAUCCGCUGCACCAUGUCGCCUCCUGGUGACAUCUCCAUUGCAUUCUGAUCCUUGUGGAAUAAACUCGAAUUGUGAACCCUCCAUGUGUGGCCUCUGCCAAUACAUCGCAGGGUCUCCUCCACCUUUGAUUUUGUUCGCUCCUUUGGCAAUCGACCUUCAUCCACCCACUCUUGGGUCACACAUAGAUGAAGCACCGCUCUAGGACAGUCCGUCGCCUAGUAGCUCCCGAAGUCCACCGACUUCACUGUAAUUUGUGCACCAUUGGCUGGAUCCUGGGCCUCUGCCCCUACCAGCACAAUCUCCGCUGCGCACUGCUUCCUUCAUAGCAACUCGAAUGACAACACUGUGGCAUAUUAUUCAAGAGUACCCGCCUCUGCGUCCUCUUGCCCCGUGCUAAGGCCUUCUGAACCCAACUUCGCCUCUGCAAAUUGAGUCGCCUUAGUUCCUCCAUUAAAUGCUCCUCCGAGAUAAGGUGCAUGUGCCCAGAAGCUCCCUUCGUCAUUGGCACCAUGCAAGAUGAGUCCGCUCCGUUAGAAAGAAGGACCCCUGGAACAACAUGAUCCUACUCUUGCCUCUGCAAGAGUUCAUGUCCUUGACCUCUGUCUAAGAAAAGCACUGUGUCUCUACUCCACGUUCCAACUUCUAUGCUGGCUCCCUUCAUGCGGCUUGAGUACUUCGCCAAGUUACACCCAAGUUGCUCCGCUCCUCGUUUUUGCAUUGAGUCGAUGGUGGCCCUCGCGCCCACCAUUCCACGGGUCAGCCCUCUUUUGAGUCUGAUCUCCACAUCGACUCCAAGUGUGCCUUCAUUUAAGUUGCUUUGGGUCGCUCCCCCACUUGAUCUCGCAAUGCAUCCACCAAUGCAUUCUCUCAAGCGAGAUCAUGCGACGACUCCUCGCCGCUUGCUCAGUCCAUCGAGCUUCGUGGAGUUGUUGUUUGUUGAGGUACUCCUUCUCAACAUGUGAGGUCCGUCUCACAUGAUUCUCCCUCUGGAGAGCCGGGACUUAUCCCUCCUGGAUAACUAUCUCGUUGGAGCAACAUCUCUCUUCAUUUGGGAGACCACUAUCCCCUUGGACUACUCCGAUCUGCUGAACAAACUGUGCAUUGUUCUGCCUCCUGCAAACGCACUUGCUAGAUUGCGACUCCCCGUCAAUACAGUCCCCGCUGCACCCCUCAAGGCCUAGCAACAUGCUGAACUCGUUGCACACUUCAGCCUCCUACGGACGUAUCCUUCACAUGCCGAAGAGAAAGUUUCAAUGCUCCAUGGCGCCGAGUUUCGGUCGCCUUGGGAUGGCUACGAACAUUCCAUCGUCCGCAUACAAGCCCAUGCAUGAGUACCAAAUUCUUCGAGUUAGCAAUUCCCCUCACCUCUGUGAGCUUUGCAUAACUCUUUUGGUCAUUGAGCAACUCAUUCCACCUUGGAUGGUCUCAUCCUUUACCAAGCACCUCGCUUGCCUUGAGCACCAUCAAGUAUCUUUGUCAACGUUGAGUCGUAGCUCAAACUCAGCCAUCCCAACCUUUGUGCGCUCCACAUUUUUCCAAGCUUGCCUGUUCUCGUGGUGCCUCUUGCGCGAAGGGUUGGCCAUUCCUCUGAAUGCCAAUCUCAGAUGCCCGCUCAUCUGAGCGACUCCUUUUCCCUACAUCUCCAUGCCCGUUUUCCCCCAAACGGUCGCGCGUGUGCUGACUGCCCUCAACGCAGUCCCGCUAGGUCCCCCACGUUUGCAUGCUAAAUGUUUCUAUGAGUGCUUGUCCCGCUCUGAUACCAUCUGUCACGAACUUAGCUGGUUUUGCCUAAGUCGUGCGGCACCCUUGCGAGUCCAUCCGCAAAGGUCAGCCUCCCCGAAGCCUCCCAUUGUCCCUUAGGAUCACCAAAAGAGAGAACGGGUUAGAGAGAACGCCUCAAUCAGGAUCCACAAGCAAACAUCUCCGAAAAACACUUCAUAGACAAUGCAAAUUAUAAACAGACUUUACAAGCUCUGAACAGUGGCACAACAAAGGGUAAAAUGGUCCAUUACAGAUCGAAAAUCUCUCACACGUGUCCACAUUACACAACCUUUAUUUACAAGCCUAAAGAGGCUACCAACCCAACUAAAAUGGGACUAUUAAGCCUUCGGCCGCCCCUUUACAUGCUGUACAAGGCAUGAACAUGCCAAAAGACACGGACAUACAUAAGCAUUACAUCAAACACCUUGUUUAGAAGUUUGUCCGUGACAGUGAGGGACUAGAUCAUACAGAGGUAUAAUCGGGAGCUACUAGAAGCUCCACUUCGGUGAACAACACGAUGACAAGAAAGGCUAUGGAUUCAAGGAGUG
rnacentral:lncRNA from 1 species